rnacentral:lncRNA from 1 species
CUUCUUUUCACUGUUUGGUUUAAAUCUGUGGAAUGUAUUAGAAAUCUGAAACUUAAGUAGUUUGUCACAGCUCAAACCAUAAUGAAAAGAAGAGUUACGUGUGCUGGUCUGGUUAUUUUUUCAAAGCUAUGAAGCUGCUCCAGGUUUGAGCUAGUGAAAUGGAGACUGCAGUCUGGUUCAUUUAAUGUAUUCUUUAUAGAGAUGCUCUUGGGCCAUAUAGAAUGAAAUAUCCUAUUUUCUGGAAGUCAGUCAUAUCAUUAAAGACUAAGAACUCAACCUCAUUCCUUAUAUAGGAUUACACAAAAGGACUGUGGUAGAUAAAUGAGUCAUUUCUGGGCAUAGGUUAAUAUUUCUAGAUGUAGCUGUUCCUUAUUGUGCCCUUUGUCUUUUUUUCUUGAAGCCAAGGCAAACUACCCAGAUUGAGAUUUGGCCCACUUAAAAUGCUUAACAAGAACAAAAUAAGCUUGAAAGAACUUCUCCCUUUUUCUCUCCUGCCACCCAGCUUUCUUCAUGCACUGUGGAAGGUUGUCAGCCACUUCUUUGAAGUUCACUAAUGAUCAUGCGAGCACAGAACUGCAGUGGGAGCCAGGAUCUCUGGCGUUGUAGCAAUGUGGCUUCCAAAUGCUGGCGCUCUCCUGUUACCUUGUGCAGCGUUAUUCAGUGUUAAUUUUGAAUCCAGUUAUCAAAAAUAACCUCACCAUGAUUGGACACGUUCGCCUAUACUGAGCUGUUUUCAUGCAAACUGGAUGAAGCCCAGACCCUGGUAUGUGGCACUGUGUCAGUCAAGGAGACUGGGAGCAACCUCUCUGCCAGGUGGUGUCUGCCUAGGAUGGAUGAAGGAGAAUGAGAGAUGGGCUGAAACCUCCUCAGGUGAAAGCAGGACUGCGGCCCCACUGAUGCUUCCGCCAAUGUCCUUUGCUG